UUGACCUGCCUGCCCUACAGGUGACGGAAGAUUUCCUGCCUGCCUACAGUACUGAAAGACUAUCUGCCUCCCUUAUUUAGUCCUCUAUCAAGGAACCAAAAUAAUUCUCAACUCAAUCCCUUUUUGAAUAUUGACCUGCCUGCCCUACAGGUGACGGAAGAUUUCCUGCCUGCCUACAGUACUGAAAGACUAUCUGCCUCCCUUAUUUAGUCCUCUAUCAAGGAACCAAAAUAAUUCUCAACUCAAUCCCUUUUUGAAUAUUGACCUGCCUGCCCUACAGGUGACGGAAGAUUUCCUGCCUGCCUACAGUACUGAAAGACUAUCUGCCUCCCUUAUUUAGUCCUCUAUCAAGGAACCAAAGUAUGUUAUGGGCUCUGCACUGAUGAUUUUUUAGCCUCUGCUUUCAGCCAACCUAUAGAGUGUAUUAGUUCCCCGUGCUUGUGUGCCUAGCAGCCGGUACCUCUCCCUCUCUUAUCCCCUUAC